rnacentral:sRNA from 1 species
CUACAAAAAUACAAAUAAUUAGCUAGGUGUGGUAGUGUGUGCUUGUAGUUUGAGCUAUGCAGGAGGCUGAGGUGGGAGGAUCACCUGAACUUGGGGAGGUUGAGGCUGCAGUGAGCCAUGAUCACACCGCUGCACUCCACCCUGGGUGACAGAGUGAGACCCCAUCUCAAAAAGUAAAAAAUAAAAUAAAAUGUAGCUCUGUUCUGAAUCAGAGGCUUGCAACUGGGAUGGGUCACCGUGAGCUUUAUAACAUGGCAUAUUUCUGGAACCCACGUGAGACCUAUUGAAUUGAAAAUCUCAGGUCGGUGGAAGGAUUCAAAAUCAACCUGAUUCGGAGUGAGGAGCACUUUCAGAGUUACUGCAACAAGAUAUUUGCUGGCUGGGACUUCUGCAUCACUAACCGUGGCAUGGCGGAUCUGAAGCACAGCAGCUUGCGGCAGAUCUGGAGGAAGAAAGAAUACGGCAGAAAAUAGCAGAAAGGACCUCAGAAGAAACAAUACGCAUUUACUCUUUGAGACUGUUUUUGAACUGUAUUGUUCUGGCUGUUUUAGGGGCGUGCUUUUAUGCAAUAUACGUAGCAACUGUCUUCUCGC